GGAGUAGGGUUAAACUUAUGGGGAGUAGGGUUAAACUGAUGGGGAGUAGGGUUAAACUGAUGAGGAGUAGGGUUAAAUUGAUGGGGAGUAGGGUUAAACUGAUGGGAGGUAGGGUUAAACUGAUUGGGAGUAGGGUUAAACUGAUGUGGAGUAGGGUUAUAGUGUUUAGGAGUAGUAUUAAACUGAUGAGGGCUAGUGUUAAACUGAUGAGGAGUAUUGUUAAACUGAUGAGGGGUAGAGUGAAAUUGAUGAGAGGUAUUGUUAAACUGAUGAGGGGUAGUGUUAGACUGAUGAGGACUAGUGUUAAACUGAUGAGGGGUAUUGUUAAACUGAUGAGGGGUAGAGUGAAAUUGAUGAGGGGUUGUGUUAAACUGAUGAGGGGUAUUUUUAAACUGAUGAGGGGUAGUGUUAAACUGAUGAGUGGUAGUGUUAUACUGAUGAGGGGUAUUGUUAAAUUGAUGAGGGGUAUUGUUAAAUUGAUGAGGGUUAUUGUUAAACUGAUUAGGGGUACUGUUAUACUGAUGAGGGGUAGAGUUAAAUUGAUGAGGGGCAGAGUUAAAUUUAAGAGGGGUAGUGUUAAACUGACGAGGGGUAGAGUUAAAUUGAUAGGGAGUAGGGUUAAACUGAUGGGAGGUAGGGUUAAACUGAUUGGGAGUAGGGUUAAACUGCUGGGGAGUAGGGUUAAACUGAUGGGGAGUAGGGUUAAAGUGUUGAGGAGUAGUAUUAAACUGAUGAGGGCUAGUGUUAAACUGAUGAGGAGUAUUGUUAAACUGAUGAGGGGUAGAGUGAAAUUGAUGAGGGGUAUUGUUAAACUGAUGGGGAGUAGUGUUAAAGUGAUGGGGAGUAGGGUUAAACUGAUGGGGAGUAGGGUUAAACUGAUGGGAGGUAGGGUUAAACUGAUUGGGAGUAGGGUUAAACUGAUGGGGAGUAGGGUUAAACUGAUGGGGAGUAGGGUUAAAGUGAUGAGGAGUAGUAUUAAACUGAUGAGGGCUAGUGUUAAACUGAUGAGGGGUAUUGUUAAACUGAUGAGGGGUAGAGUGAAAUUGAUGAGGGCCAGUGUUAAACUGAUGAGGGGUAUUGUUGAACUAAUGAGGGGUAGUGUUAAACUGAUGAGGGGUAGUGUUAAACUGAUGAGGGGUAGAGUGAAAUUGAUGAGGGGUAUUGUUAAACUGAUGAGGGGUAGAGUUAAAUUGAUGAGGGGUAUUGUUAAACUGAUGAGGGGUAGAGUUAAAUUGAUGAGGGGCAGAGUUAAAUUUAAGAGGGGUAGUGUUAAACUGAUGGGGGGUAGUGUUAAACUGACGAGGGGUAGAGUUAAAUUGAUAGGGAGUAGGGUUAAACUGAUGGGAGGUAGGGUUAAACUGAUUGGGAGUAGGGUUAAAUUGAUGGGGAGUAGUGUUAAAGUGAUGGGGAGUAGGGUUAAACUGAUGGGGAGUAGGGUUAAACUGAUGGGAGGUAGGGUUAAACUGAUGGGAGUAGGGUUAAACUGAUCCGGAGUAGGGUUAAAGUGUUGAGGAGUAGUAUUAAACUGAUGAGGGCUAGUGUUAAACUGAUGACGGGUAGUGUUAGACUGAUGAGGGGUAGUGUUAAACUGAUGAGGACUAGUGUUAAACUGAUGAGGACUAGUUUUAAACUGAUGAGGGGUAUUGUUAAACUGAUGAGGGGUAGAGUGAAAUUGAUGAGGGGUUGUGUUAAACUGAUGAGGGGUAUUUUUAAACUGAUGAGGGGUAGUGUUAAACUGAUAAGUGGUAGUGUUAAACUGAUGAGGGGUAUUGUUAAAUUGAUGAGGGGUAUUGUUAAAUUGAUGAGGGUUAUUGUUAAACUGAUUAGGGGUACUGUUAAACUGAUGAAGGGUAGAGUUAAAUUGAUGAGGGGCAGAGUUAAAUUUAAGAGGGGUAGUGUUAAACUGAUGGGGGGUAGUGUUAAACUGACGAGGGGUAGAGUUAAAUUGAUAGGGAGUAGGGUUAAACUGAUGGGAUGUAGAGCUAAUCUGAUGGGGAGUAGGGUUAAACUGAUGAGUGGUAUUUUUAAACUGAUGAGGGGUAAUGUUAAACUGAUGAGUGUUAGUGUUAAACUGAUGAGGGGUAUUGUUAAAUUGAUGAGGGGUAUUGUUAAAUUGAUGUAGAGGUCUUGUUAAAUUGAUGAGGGAUAUUGUUAAACUGAUUAGGGGUAGUGUUAAACUGAUGAGGGGUAGAGUUAAAUUGAUGAGGGGCAGAGUUAAAUUUAAGAGGGGUAGUGUUAAACUGAUGGGGGGUAGUGUUAAACUGACGAGGGGUAGAGUUAAAUUGAUAGGGAGUAGGGUUAAACUGAUGGGAGGUAGGGUUAAACUGAUUGGGAGUAGGGUUAAAUUGAUGGGGAGUAGUGUUAAAGUGAUGGGGAGUAGGGUUAAACUGAUGGGGAGUAGGGUUAAACUGAUGGGAGGUAGGGUUAAACUGAUUGGGAGUAGGGUUAAACUGAUGGGGAGUAGGGUUAAACUGAUGGGGAGUAGGGUUAAAGUGAUGAGGAGUAGUAUUAAACUGAUGAGGGCUAGUGUUAAACUGAUGAGGGGUAUUGUUAAACUGAUGAGGGGUAGAGUGAAAUUGAUGAGGGCCAGUGUUAAACU
rnacentral:lncRNA from 13 species